UAUACUUCGUUUGUCGCAUGCCA
rnacentral:siRNA from 1 species